rnacentral:rRNA from 1 species
CGAGUCUUAACUGGGCGUUAAGUUGCAGGGUAUAGACCCGAAACCCGGUGAUCUAGCCAUGGGCAGGUUGAAGGUUGGGUAACACUAACUGGAGGACCGAACCGACUAAUGUUGAAAAAUUAGCGGAUGACUUGUGGCUGGGGGUGAAAGGCCAAUCAAACCGGGAGAUAGCUGGUUCUCCCCGAAAGCUAUUUAGGUAGCGCCUCGUGAAUUCAUCUCCGGGGGUAGAGCACUGUUUCGGCAAGGGGGUCAUCCCGACUUACCAACCCGAUGCAAACUGCGAAUACCGGAGAAUGUUAUCACGGGAGACACACGGCGGGUGCUAACGUCCGUCGUGAAGAGGGAAACAACCCAGACCGCCAGCUAAGGUCCCAAAGUCAUGGUUAAGUGGGAAACGAUGUGGGAAGGCCCAGACAGCCAGGAUGUUGGCUUAGAAGCAGCCAUCAUUUAAAGAAAGCGUAAUAGCUCACUGGUCGAGUCGGCCUGCGCGGAAGAUGUAACGGGGCUAAACCAUGCACCGAAGCUGCGGCAGCGACACUAUGUGUUGUUGGGU